GGGGGUAUAGCUCAGUGGUAGCGCAUUUGACUGCAGAUCAGGAGGUCCCUAGUUCAAAUCUGGGUGCCCCCU
rnacentral:tRNA from 1 species